AGGUUACAGAGGAUGCGACCUGUCUCGUCCAUCUAAGAAAGGAAGACAAGAGCCCCUCCAUGGGGCCACUCCUGAAGCCACCUCCAAAACAAUCUCCUAACCUUAGGGCUCAGAACCAAGUACAGAGACUCACGGCUGUGAUGAGGACCAGGACUAACUUCCACAAUGCUUCAACACUCGGGAUUGGCCAGCACGUCCCCACCCCAGAAAUCUCUCUCCUGCCCUAGCAAAGGCCAAGGUGAGGCAGGAUGGCUGGUACUAACCAUCUGAGGCAGCUCUCUUUUCAGGGUUAAUGGCAUGUCUGUGCUGUAGAUCCUCAGCCCUCUGGACUGACUGAGGACUGAAGGAAUUUCCUUUUUAUUCAUUCCACAGUGUUAACAGUGUUCUGCCCACAGGUGGGGGUAGGAUAAGAUUUGAUGAGCUAACAUGAACCAGUAAAACCUCUACCUUGAACAGGUUGAUGUUGUCGAUCUGGCUCUGAAAGAGAAAGUCAUUGAUGGUCUUCAGCUCUGUCCCUAAGGGUAAACAAACAAGCCUUGGGGUCCUGCUCUGAAGACCAUGGUGUUGGGGUCCCAGAGGGAAGCUCAGAACUGGCUCAGACCAGCCCUGGGCCCAUGAGGGCCAUCUUCUUACCUGUCUGUGAGAGGCUCUGUGUAUUGGGAUUUUGCUUAAUGUUCCCUAAAAGAGAAUUCAAACAGACAGGUCAAGAUGGUGGUCCUCUGGCCCCAUCCUCUCACACUCCACAGUAUACUAGUCAAAUAAGAACAUUUGUCUGUGAACCGGCUUUUUGAUAGUUUUAAUACCCAUAGACCCCCCCACUGAGAACAGAUGUUCCAGGAAGCCUCAAAGUCUGACCCACAUGUGAUAUGGAGCCCAAAGCCUGGUGGUUUCAUUCUUUUCACACCUCCUCUAAGGAGGCAGGGACAGAGUAGCCACCCCAGUUUAGGCAGGUGCCAACAGGACACGCCCAGCUGCUUGGUGACAGAGGCAAGGCAGAGAUGGAAGCCAAGAACACCAACAUGAGACAAAAUCCCCUCAGAACCACCACGCUGGCGUCCUGGACUUCUGCUUCCGUGAAAGCCUUCAAAAGGGUCCCUGGGAAAGGACAGGGCUGCUGCACAGAAUGCUGGAAAGGUGCACGGGACCUGGAGCCAGUGGGUUCUAGUUCCUCUCACUGGGCUCAGCAACCAGAGGCUCUAGCUUCAUUCACUCGUGUCACUGAGGGUCAACACACCCAUGCUGCCGUCCUCACAGGAGCACUCUAUCAUGUAAAACGGCAUUCACUUGUACUGUAGUGCUAUUACUACCUCAGAACGGUGAAAUAAAUCAGGGUCCUAAAAAAGA